GCUUCGGCGGGCCCGCCGUUUCGACGGCCGCCGGGGAGGCCUUGCGCCCCCGGGCCCGCGCCCGCCGAAGACCCCAACAUGAACGCUGUUCUGAAAGUAUGCAGUCUGAGUUGAUUAUCGUAAUCAGUUAAAACUUUCAACAACGGAUCUCUUGGUUCCGGCAUCGAUGAAGAACGCAGCGAAAUGCGAUAAGUAAUGUGAAUUGCAGAAUUCAGUGAAUCAUCGAGUCUUUGAACGCACAUUGCGCCCCCUGGUAUUCCGGGGGGCAUGCCUGUCCGAGCGUCAUUGCUGCCCUCAAGCACGGCUUGUGUGUUGGGCCCCCGUCCCCCUCUCCCGGGGGACGGGCCCGAAAGGCAGCGGCGGCACCGCGUCCGGUCCUCGAGCGUAUGGGGCUUUGUCACCUGCUCUGUAGGCCCGGCCGGCGCCAGCCGACACCCAACU
rnacentral:rRNA from 1 species